ACAGGUGGUGCAUGGCUGUCGUCAGCUCGUGUCGUGAGAUGUUGGGUUAAGUCCCGCAACGAGCGCAACCCUAUCUUAUGUUGCCAGCACGUUAUGGUGGGGACUCGUAAGAGACUGCCGGGUCAACUCGGAGGAAGGUGGGGACGACGUCAAGUCAUCAUGCCCCUUAUGUCCAGGGCUUCACACAUGCUACAAUGGCCAGUACAGAGGGCUGCGAGACCGUGAGGUGGAGCGAAUCCCUUAAAGCUGGUCUCAGUUCGGAUCGGGGUCUGCAACUCGACCCCGUGAAGUCGGAGUCGCUAGUAAUCGCAGAUCAGCAACGCUGCGGUGAAUACGUUCCCGGGCCUU
rnacentral:rRNA from 1 species